UAAUAUAGCAUGCCGCCGAAUGUCAAACCUGCACUUGUCAUAGGAAACACAAGAAGACACGUAAAUCGAAGUCAGAUAUUGCAGUAAGACUGCCAAGGGCCCAGAACAACACAACUAGCAAGACAAAACCUCCACAAGGUCCCUUAAGGAUGUGAACAGGAUGUGAACAGUGAUGGAAGAGGGGAAUCUACAGCACACAGCAGAAUAGGAUUUUCAGAAGGGUCCAAAACUUCACUCCUCAUCAAACCCUUUCUGUGAUGACCAGGGAUAUUGGAAGGAAAAGAGAGAAGAUAGUAAGUGCCAGCUUGCAAGCUGAGUAUAUUACAAUUAGUAUGUUUGAAUAGGUAACUGAUUAGGUGUCACAGAAAAAAACACAUUAGUGCAGAAAAUGUAUCACAGCAUAGAGUAAAAUAAAGAUAGGAAUAGUAAGCUGCUUGUAGAGAGAUGACUACGCAGUAUUAAGGACAUACAAUUAUUAGUGAAACAGCGAGGCAGCUGACAGAAGGCAGCAUGAACAAGAGGCAGAUGCCACGGAUUGGCCCCCGUGCUGUGUGCAGUUGUUGCUAACCUUGGAACCAGCAUCCCGGCUCUUGGCACGCAGCUUGUUGACCUGAGACUCGGCGAUGUCAGCUCUCUCCUCGGCUUCUUCCAGCUCGUGCUGGAUCUUCCGGAACUUUCCCAGAUGAAUGUUAGCCUG